GGUGCCACUGCUGCAUAUUUUCUAGACAUGACAUAACCUGUUUCAUUUCUGUUUUAGCGUCCUUGGAGAAUACCUGCGUCAUUAAGUUCUUGUCAAAAUUACACUCCUGAUGUCGUGUGGUUUUACCUGGAAUUUAGCGUCUCGGAACUGUGCCCGAUGUGCUGUGAUGGCCACAGGACCCUUUUUGUGACAGAAUGCAAUACCAAAGAUGUUUUGUUGCCACUGUAAAUAAAAAAUCUUAAGUGUCA